GGAAUAUUGGACAAUGGGGGCAACCCUGAUCCAGCGACGCCGCGUGGGUGAAGAAGGCCUGCGGGUUGUAAAGCCCUUUCAGGGGGGAAGAAAUUGACGGUACCUCCAGAAGAAGGACCGGCCAACUCCGUGCCAGCAGCCGCGGUAAUACGUAGGGUCCGAGCGUUAUCCGGAAUCAUUGGGCGUAAAGAGCUCGUAGGCGGUUCAGCAAGUCGUCUGUGAAAGUCCGAGGCUCAACCUCGGAAUUGCAGUCGAUACUGCUGUGACUCGAGUCCGGUAGAGGAGAAUGGAAUUCCCGGUGUAGCGGUGAAAUGCGCAGAUAUCGGGAGGAACACCAGUAGCGAAGGCGGUUCUCUGGGCCGGCACUGACGCUGAGGAGCGAAAGCGUGGGGAGCAAAC
rnacentral:rRNA from 1 species